rnacentral:rRNA from 1 species
CCAAGGAGUCUAACAUGUGCGCGAGUCGUCGGGUCUUGAACAGGCCCGCAGGCGUAAUGAAAGUGAAGGGCGACCUUGUCGUUGCCUGCGUUGGGAUCCCCGGCCGAGCAGGGCCGGGGCGCACCAACGGCCCGUCCCUUCUGCGACGUCAGUGGGACGGAGCGAGAGCGUACACGUUGGGACCCGAAAGAUGGUGAACUAUGCCUGGGCAGGACGAGGCCAGAGGAAACUCUGGUGGAGGUCCGCAGCGAUUCUGACGUGCAAAUCGAUCGUCAGACCUGGGUAUAGGGGCGAAAGACUAAUCGAACCAUCUAGUAGCUGGUUCCCUCCGAAGUUUCCCUCAGGAUAGCUGGCGCUCGAAGGGAAGUCAGUCUCAUCCGGUAAAGCGAAUGAUUAGAGGCCUUGGGGCCGAAACGACCUCAACCUAUUCUCAAACUUUCAAUGGGUGAGAAGUCCGGUUUACAUGACUGAAGCCCGGACAAUUCUCAGGAUGUGAGUGCCCAGUGGGCCACUUUU